UAGGGAAUCUUCUGCAAUGGACGAAAGUCUGACCGAGCAACGCCGCGUGAGUGAAGAAGGUUUUCGGAUCGUAAAACUCUGUUGUUAGAGAAGAACAAGGACGUUAGUAACUGAACGUCCCCUGACGGUAUCUAACCAGAAAGCCACGGCUAACUACGUGCCAGCAGCCGCGGUAAUACGUAGGUGGCAAGCGUUGUCCGGAUUUAUUGGGAGUAAAGCGAGAGCAGGCGGUUUCUUAAGUAUGAUGUGAAAUCCCACGGCUCAACCGGGGAGGGUCAUUGGAAACUGGGAGACUUGAGUGCAGAAGAGGAGAGUGGAAUUCCAUGUGUAGCGGUGAAAUGCGUAGAUAUAUGGAGGAACACCAGUGGCGAAGGCGGCUCUCUGGUCUGUAACUGACGCUGAGGCUCGAAAGCGUGGGGAGCAAACAGG
rnacentral:rRNA from 1 species